rnacentral:rRNA from 1 species
UACGAAGGGGGCGAGCGUUGUCCGGAUUCAUUGGGCGUAAAGAGCUCGUAGGCGGUUCGGUAAGUCAGGUGUAAAAACUCCAGGCUCAACUUGGAGAGGCCACCUGAUACUGCCGUGACUAGAGUCCGGUAGAGGAGCAUGGAAUUCCUGGUGUAGCGGUGAAAUGCGCAGAUAUCAGGAGGAACACCAGCGGCGAAGGCGGUGCUCUGGGCCGGAACUGACGCUGAGGAGCGAAAGCGUGGGGAGCGAACAGG